AACGAACGCUGGCGGCAGGCCUAACACAUGCAAGUCGAGCGCCCAGCAAUGGGAGCGGCGGACGGGUGAGUAACGCGUGGGAAUUUUUCCUGGAGUACGGAACAACCGAGGGAAACUUCGGCUAAUACCGUAUGAUGUCUAGCGACCAAAGAUUUAUCGCUCUGGGGUAAGCCCGCGUCAGAUUAGGUAGUUGGUGGGGUAACGGCCUACCAAGCCUGCGAUCUGUAGCUGGUCUGAGAGGACGAUCAGCCACACUGGGACUGAGACACGGCCCAGACUCCUACGGGAGGCAGCAGUGGGGAAUCUUGCGCAAUGGGCGAAAGCCUGACGC
rnacentral:rRNA from 1 species